GCGCCGUCCCCUUUGGAGCGAGAGGCGGGUCUGCGGCCGCAGUUUCUGAGCUCACGCUUGGUGGCGGGAGCCGGGAGCUUUCUCGCGUAGUUGGCAGCGGCUUUUUCACGUGGUGUUCUGCCUGAGACCGAGGCAGGUGCGCCACGGCCUCCCCAGCCGAGGCCUGGCUGUGGCUGGGGAGACAGUGAAAGACCCGGCUGGACAGGCCGGACCGGGCUCAGUACCGCAGGCUCAGACCCGGCCUUUAAGGGGACAGGCCUGAGAGAAGAGCCCAGAGCGGGGCUGGCGCUGCAGUGAAGCGACGCUGACGCUCAGAAAACUGCUGGGAGGCGGUGGCGCGAGGUGGGACCCAAAUGCUGGAGGAAGGAGAGCCACCUUCUCCAGAUCCUGCCCUUCCCCAAGAGGAAGGCACAGAAGAGGAAGGAAUGGCAGGUGGUCUCCUCACAGCUGGGCCCCAAGUAAGUUGGAAAUUUACUCUGAAAGGCAGCCUCUUUUUUUUUUUUUUUUAAUAUUAAGGGUGUUUUAGGUUUUUAAUUACAAAAGGAAUUCAUGUUCUUUGUAGAAAACCUGAAAAGUGUAGACAACAUACCCCCCCAAAAUUACACUUAAUCCUACAAAGAAAUAACACUUAACAUUUUGAUUUGUGUCCUUUUAGUCAUAUUCUUUUUUUUCUGUUUUCCCCAAAUGGGUUUGUCCUGAUUUGUAACCUUCUUUUUAUUUACACUUAGUAGAAUUUGAUUAAUAUUUCCCCAAUUUCAUUAAGAGUAUUCUACAGAAUUAUUUCUAAUAAAUUCCAUUUCAUAGUCCUUCUAUGAGAGUAAGAACUGUCUUCUCCCUUUCUUUUUCUUGACUAGACUAGGAAUUGGUCUGUUUUCAUUUUUAGAACGCCUGCUCUUGGAUUUCCUCUUCAGUUCUCCUCUUUAUUAACAAAAUUUUCUGUUAGUUUUUUUGCUUCUGCUUUCCUUAGAUUUAUUUUAAAAUUCACUUUUCAAAAUCUCUUGAGUUGAAUCCCCUAAUUCAUUUUCUUCCUGUUUUGUUCAUAUAUAUUGAAUAUUUUUGGUGGUGGGUCUUUAUUUUUUUAGAUAUGCCAAAAUUGUGACUUUGGUUUCUUGUCUGCACAUUUAGCUGGGCUGUGCUCCAUGCAGGCAAAGUUUGUGUCUCUUCUCCACACAAAACAUCCAGGUAUAGUGUGAUUGCAGCUGUAGGAUUUAUGGCUCAACCUUAUUAAAUUACUCAUUUCUUCCAUACCUUUAUUUUUUGGUUUAUUUUGUAUUAACUCUGUUAACAACUAAGUUGUUUAACAUUUCUUGUAGCUGUAUUUUAAAUUUGUCCUUGUACUUCCUACAGUUUUUUCUUUAUGAAUUAUAUAUUUGUUAUUUGGUUCAUGACCCUUAUAUCUUCAUAAUGGAUUUUACUCUCUUGAUUAUUAUAAAAUGACCCAAAUGUUUUAAAUAUUCCAUCGUUUUUUAAAAUGACCCUCUUUGUCCUGUUUAGUGCAUUUCUCAGUGUGAAGGAUGUAUUGGAAGGACAGGUAAAAUUAGAAAUCAGGAAACUAGUUAUGAAUUGGGAAACGAUGGUGGCUUAAAGCAAGGCAGUGGCAGGGGCAUGGAGAGAAAUGCAUGAAUUCUCAUGAUAUUGAGGAGGAAGAAUGAAUAUGCAGUUGAUAUGUGGGGAGCUGCAAGAAAGGGGAAGAUAGCACCCAGUUGUCUCACAUGGCCAACUAGGUGACUGGAGGUACCAUUUCCUAAGCUGAAAAUAGGCAAAGACCCCCUUGCCUCCAUGCCUUUGCUCCUGAUGCUUCCGUUGCCUUGGACAUCCUUCUCUUUCUCCAUCUGAGGAACCUGCUCCUUGAAGGCCAGGUUGCCCUCCACCUAUGAUUCCUCCUCUGUUAUCCUAGCAACUAAUCUGUCCAUCUCUUUGACACAUUAUUACAGGUGGUUGCAUACGUGCUGGCUCUCCUGCUGUACUGUGUGAUGUCUGAGUAAGCAGGAAUAUUUAUUAAAUGUUCUGAAAACAUUAAUCAUUCACAUUUCUUUGCUAAUUUGCAGCUGAUUCCUUGUUGCAUAAACUCACACAUUCUAAUUUUGUUUUUUCUAUAUUGGCGCUUUUAAUUCCCAAGCACCUGUUAGUUCUGCCCAAUUACUGCUCAUAUAUAUACAUAGUUUCUUCUAUUUAUGUAUAAAGCCUACUAGAGUUAUAAAACAUGUGAAGACAAGAGAUACUGUAUUUUAUUUAUUUUUGUGCAUCAAUAUCCAAUAUAGUGUUAGGC
rnacentral:lncRNA from 1 species